AGAGAGAGAGAGAGAGAGGGAGAAAAGAGGGAAAACAAGGGGAGGUUAGAAAAAGAACCAGGAGGAAGGAAGGGGGAGGUGAGCAGGCUUGAGCAGGAGAGAGAGGGAAAGAGAGAGAGGGGGAAAGAGAGAGAGAAAGAUUGAGUGAAGUUGCAAAAGUAAGAAAGUAAGAAAGUGCAAACAAACUGAAAAGUCAGAAGCCAGAGAGAAACAGUAUGUGAAAAAGGAAAGAGGGAAGGUAGAGAGAAAAAAAGAGAGUAAGAAAAGGAGGAGUGCAAGAAAGAGAAACUACGCAGAUGAGAAAAACAGCCUUAGUGAAUGGCCCGGGUGGGGAGGAGAGAGAGGGGAGGAAACCAGUUGUUUUGUAAGUCGUCGGCCUGGGCGGCUUCUGGACUCCUGCUGGUAUGCAUUCGGGAAAGGCGGCAACAGGACAACGCGUCCUCCAUCCAGCCCAGGACUACUGCCGCCUCUGCUCGCUCCAGGGACCAGCCCUCUCCCAUGGGCAAGAGCCCAUGGAUGGGCCAUGCCUGUCUCCAGCGGACAGUCUAAGCCCUGUCCAGUGGCGGGACUUGGGGGACUUGCCUGUGCCCUUUCCUCCAGAGGUCCGAAUGCCGGAGGACAGCAUGGGGUACCCUGACCUUUGCAUACCUCAGAGAAGGCACUUUUACCUGGGACCAAGCCACUACCAUGUGCCUGAGAGCUGUAGUAGCCCUCCUUGCUACUCGUGGAGGGAGGUAAGAGCUUGCAGAUGGGACUGGCCAGUGGACCCCAGGCUUGCUCCAUGCGCGUGCAUCUGGGAACGACACAGGGACUGCGGUUGCUCAAGGCAAUGGUAUCCUCCAGAGUUGCCACCGCACCCCUUCAACGGCAGCGCCGUCUCGCAGCUCCUGCCAACUAAGGUCAGGGGUCAGCGGUACUACACAGAGGCCCGAUAUGUGUCGGAGGAGCAUUACUGGGACUGUGUAAGUGAGAACUAUCACAGAGGCGUACAUUCCCAAGAACCUGACUUUGACAACCUGGACGCACCUGCUUACAAUGGACAUUGUGAAAGAAGACAUGUCAGAUUUCAGGGACACGAUGACGAAAUCAGUUGCGACAGCCAGGACACUGAUGGGGCAACCAGUCCCGCAAAGACGCAUUGUAAUGGGUCCCCAGCCUUCUUUUCCACAGAGGUGCCCCAAAGCAAGUUCAGGAGCUCCAGGACAUCGGCUCCCAGGCCGUCAGCGAGCAGACCCUGGGGAGAAGAAGAGGCAGAGAUGGGUCAAAAAGGGAGGCUGGGGGAUGGUGGAGAUGAGGACAGCAGGAGGAAACAGAGGAAAAGCCAAGGAACCGUGCGGGAGCAGAUCAAACAAGUGGUCACGGAGUUGGAAGACGUACUUGGGGGUCUAAAGCAGGUCCAGUUGGAGAUGAAAGAGGUGGUCCAACAGAUUGACAUCCUGACCUCCAACAUAGACCUGGGUGGUGAGGAGCAGAGGCCAUGCAACGGUCCGCUGCAGGAUCCCAGACACCAGGGCAACCGCUUUGGAGUGGUGGCACUCGUACAUAACUCAAACGGAGAUAUGAUGGAAUCAACGACAAGAGACAAGAGCUCUCGGCCAGGUCAGGUCAAGUCGCGGACUGCGCAUUCCUCGUCGGACCACAGCAUAGCUUCUGUGGCCGCGAUGGCUGCUUCUCAUGCCAACAGCCGCACCGCCACAAAGAACCACACAAACCCGUCGUCUCCUGCCCACACUACAUUUGCUGUUGAGUCUGCCGGCUGCAGAGGAAUGAAUCACACGUCUGCAACAGAAUCGCAGAGGACUAAGAGUUCCGCCAAUGGAGACUGCCUGCGAGCCAGACCUCCCAGAGUCAGAGUCAAAGAUCUCCAGAACCAAAGAUCUAGACUGGAUUACGUGCUCCCCUCAAAGCUUAGCUCUAUUCCUGAACCCUCAUUUCCUCUGACACCCAUUGGCCUCUCAAAGACCCAGAAACCCCCACCGUACCCCCAGAAUGGACAAGCCAAAAUGCCCAAUCAGGAUGUAAGCCAUUCUUCAAACGGGCUCAAGACACCUCCGAACUGUGGAAAACAAAAACAGCUAACGUCCACCAUGGUGUAAAUAGAGGGACGGGGUGAGACAGGGGUCCCGCUGCCUCAGAGCUCUGUCUGUCUGUCAGUCUGUCUGCAGUCCUGAGGACAGCACACACCCACACAUACCCAUAAACAACCUCAACCAGAUUUUUUUUCCCAAGCGUCCACGCGAUUAGGUAACUCAGGGUGAGUGGACAAUGAGUGUCCUCAUAUACAGAGGAUUGCUCAUCAUGAAUGCUUUUUUGAGUGUUUGUGUUUAUUGUUGCUUUGUGCUUGACUGUGCGAAGGCUUUUACUUUCACAUACAUUACAUAUACCGAUUAAACAAAAACAUUUAUGACCACCUUUUUUUGUUUCUACAUCCUUUAUCCAUUUACAGCUCCACUAUAGAAGCAUAUAGGAGCUUAUCAUAUGGACAGAGAGUGCAGAAACAAAAGAAUGGUCAAGAAUGGUCAUAAUGUUAUGCUUGAUCGGUGUACACAAUAUGCUUGUGGACACCUCUUAAAGAGAUGUCAUUCGGUUCGUUUUGUUUUGGUUGCAACCAUAGUUGUAACUGCACACAUAUAGCUUGUCUAGUCUUGUCUAGUCUUUGUAAAGCGAAGUAUUGCCAACAUGGCUAUGAAGAGGUAUAAACGCCCCCCUGGGAUCAAGCUAUUUAAGAACUGUGUUCCUCAAGAAUGAUGGUGCUCCAUCUAAUAUUUUGGUGGAAUAAUGAGUUGGGGAGUUGGGAGUGAUGUGCUUAAUGCAAUCAGAUCCCCUCAGCAAUCCUCUGAAAUCAAGUAGAAAGUCUUUCCUAGACAAUACCUAGAUAAUAUGCAUGUGUGGAGCUUGUAUGGGUAGCCAAAUUUGGUCCCAGAAAGCCCCACAUAUGUAUGUCAAUGAUGGGAACAGGAGGGGUUAAACAUGACUUAAGAGUUCACCAAUAUAAUCCACAGCGGAAUUGGUGGAAUAAUCACAGUUUUCAUGCAUCUUAAUUGUUCUCCUCCACCAGCCUUACACACUGCUUUUGGAUAACUUUAUGCCUUUACU
rnacentral:lncRNA from 1 species